rnacentral:rRNA from 1 species
AUAGCGUAUAUUAAAGUUGUUGUGGUUAAAAAGCUCGUAGUUGAACCUUGGGCCUGGCUGGCCGGUCCGCCUCACCGCGUGUACUGGUCCGGCCGGGCCUUUCCCUCUGUGUAACCCCAUGCCCUUCACUGGGUGUGGCGGGGAACAAGGACUUUUACUUUGAAAAAAUUAGAGUGCUCAAGGCAGGCAUUUGCUCGGAUACAUUAGCAUGGAAUAAUAGAAUAGGACGUGUGGUUCUAUUUUGUUGGUUUCUAGAACCACCGUAAUGAUUAAUAGGGACAGUCGGGGGCAUCAGUAUUCAAUUGUCAGAGGUGAAAUUCUUGGAUUUAUUGAAGACUAACUACUG